GUUGGUUUUGCGGGCUCACCAACAAACCUUCACCGUUGGUUUUACGGGCUCACCAACAAACCUUACAAAGUAAUAAAGAAGAAAGAGUUUGAAACUCCUAAAAGAGCAAAUAUAACAAUUUUACACUAAUAGAAGAGAAGAGAAAACAGUUAUCACUUUGAGGAUGCUUUUCUCUUCUUUGCCAAGGUUCCUUCACUUCACAAUAGUUUGGUGGAGCUGUUGAAUGCACAUUCAGAUUGCUCAACCACCUCCUUUUUGAGACUUAAAUGGAGAACCUUGAAGAAGGAUGCUAGGGCUUGCUUUUUCUUGAAUGAACUUUGAUUUCUUGGCAAAAGAUGAUUCCUCUGAUGAAUAGUGACACUUUAAAUACUU
rnacentral:lncRNA from 1 species